CUGCUUGCCCCAGCAUGUUUAACAGUUCAAUGGUUAACUGACGACAGAGUCCCUGUUCUGUAGCUCCCAGGAAGAUGUCAUCAACAUACUGAAGUAUUAUAUAUGAAAAAGGAGAUUCCUUUACCUGAGUAGUCUUCCAUUCUUCAAGUUCUUUUGCUAACUGAUUACCGAAUAUUGUAGGUGAACAUUUGAAUCCUUGUGGUAAUCGAGUCCAACCUGAGCAAAAUACA